rnacentral:rRNA from 1 species
GAUGAACGCUGGCGGUGUGCCUAAUACAUGCAAGUCGAGCGAACAGACGAGGAGCUUACUCCUCUGACGUUAGCGGCGGACGGGUGAGUAACACGUGGAUAACCUACCUAUAAGACUGGGAUAACUUCGGGAAACCGGAGCUAAUACCGGAUAACAUGUUGAACCGCAUGGUUCAACAGUGAAAGACGGUCUUGCUGUCACUUAUAGAUGGAUCCGCGUCGCAUUAGCUAGUUGGUAAGGUAACGGCUUACCAAGGCAACGAUGCGUAGCCGACCUGAGAGGGUGAUCGGCCACACUGGAACUGAGACACGGUCCAGACUCCUACGGGAGGCAGCAGUAGGGAAUCUGCCGCAAUGGGCGAAAGCCUGACGGAGCAACGCCGCGUGAGUGAAGAAGGUCUUCGGAUCGUAAAACUCUGUUAUUAGGGAAGAACAAAUGUGUAAGUAACUAUGCACGUCUUGACGGUACCUAAUCAGAAAGCCACGGCUAACUACGUG